rnacentral:tRNA from 1 species
GCUUCAAUAAUUUAAAAUUAAAAUAUUGGUCUUGUAAACCAAAAAUAAGAAUAUCUUUUGAAGCU